GACGAACGCUGGCGGCGUGCUUAACACAUGCAAGUCGAACGGAAAGGCCCUGCUUUUGUGGGGUGCUCGAGUGGCGAACGGGUGAGUAACACGUGAGUAACCUGCCCUUGACUUUGGUAUAACUUCAGGAAACUGGGGCUAAUACCGGAUAGGAGCUCCUGCUGCAUGGUGGGGGUUGGAACGUUUCGGCGGUUGGGGAUGGACUCGCGGCUUAUCAGCUUGUUGGUGGGGUAGUGGCUUACCAAGGCUUUGACGGGUAGCCGGCCUGAGAGGGUGACCGGCCACAUGGGGACUGAGAGACGGCCCAGACUCCUACGGGAGGCAGCAGUGGGGAAUAUUGCACAAUGGGCGGAAGCCUGAUGCAGCAACGCCGCGUGCGGGAUGACGGCCUUCGGGUUGUAAACCGCUUUCGCCUGUGACGAAGCGUGAGUGACGGUAAUGGGUAAAGAAGCACCGGCUAACUACGUG
rnacentral:rRNA from 1 species